rnacentral:rRNA from 1 species
GACGAACCGUGCGAACGUUAUUCGGAAUCACUGGGCUUAAAGCGCGUGUAGGCGGAUGGGAACGUCGGUCGCUGAAAUCCCCCGGCUCAACCGGGGAACGGGCGCCGAAACGACCCGUCUGGAGGGACGUAGGGGGACCUGGAACUUCCGGUGGAGCGGUUAAAUGCGUUGAGAUCGGAAGGAACGCCCGUGGCGAAAGCGAGGUCCUGGACGUCUACUGACGCUGAGACGCGAAAGCUAGGGUAGCGAACGGG